CUGCUAAAAGUCUUAGUCGAUUGCCCAGCCGUUCGAUCGUUGUUUGCUUGCAGAUUCGCGCCGUGGCGCUUUGUCCUUUGUUUCAUCCUGUGACCGGCCCGUUUACUUGUUUUUUUGUUGAGCGUUGUCUAAUGUUUGGGGCCGGCCUGGAUUCGUGUGAGCAUGUCGCUUUUUUAUGGGCUGGGGCAAAAUGCUGGGGGAUGCAGUAAAUAAAGAGGGUGAAGAGGAAGUGGGACCCGUGGUAAUUAAGAGGAGGGGAACGGCAAGUCAGCCCAUUUCUUCCUUCUCUCUCUAUUCUUCUCUGUCAAAGCUGAAGAUCUGCAGCGGAAUGAAGAAAUCGAUGUGCUCCUCCACAGCAAUCUAGAGGACGGGCGGUGCUACUGAUGGAGAGAUGGUUUGCAGAGUUUGUCUGAGCCCUUGCAACUGCGAGAGCAGGGGAAGCAGCAUCAGCAUGUAUGUCUGGAAGGAGUUCAAAAAGGGAGGGGGGCUACAUUUCUGUCCCUAACUCGAACCACCUACUCAUAUUUGUCCCUAAUUUUAAAGCAUGCUCAAAUUUGCCCCUCUGUCGUUAGGUGCGCUUAUAGAAAUGCCCAUCCGUGCCGUUUCCGUCCGGUCAAAGCUGUUUGACCGGUAUCUGGCCGUUUCUUUGACAAUUUUGCCCCUGUCUUCGUGUGUCACUUGCCGGUAGGACCCACUCCCUUUUUUUUGAAAAAAACUUUCUCUCACCCCCAUCUCUCUCACACACACUUACAUGUGGGUCCUAGCUAGACAAAAAAAUAUUUUUCUUUCUCUCACCUCUCUCUCCCUGCCGAACGACGGGCCGACGCCACUCUCUCUCAACUCCGGUGAGAGUGCCGAACGGGCGCCGCCUCUACCGCUGUCCUUCCCUGACGCCGCAUCCUCUCGCCCUCGUUCUCUUUCUGCCGCUAGCCUGCUUUCUCUCUCCCGCCCUUGAGCCCUCUCCCGCAAGCACGCUGGAGAGUGACCUGCCGCCGUCGUCUGUCAAGAACGUGGCCAAGGGCAACCCCAAGCCCCGCCAAUUCGCCGGGAAGCUCUUACGACAUGAACGCAUCCUACCAGCCUACUAAUUCGACCAGAGACAUCAAGGAUUGAGCGCUACAACGCAUCUUCCCCGCCUUCAGUCUCAGAUUGCCGUCUUCGAUUCGACGCCAUUGAGGCACGCCGGUCGAUUCCGCCUGCUCCCGGGGCAUCGUGAUGUACCUAAGAAGACGUGGGCUUCCUCCACAGCAAGCGCCAUGAGCUCGGGUUUUCUUCCCUACGAGCUCCGAGCUCUGCCAUGGCCGCCAUCGUCGAAGUCCUCGCUCUAGCCUUCUCUUAGCCCGAGCGGCGUAGCCAUCGUGAUCCUAGUGAUGGAAGAUCCCCCACACAGCCUUUUUCCCUCUCCCUCCCGCUCGCAUGGAAGCUCCCCCACUUGUGCCGCCCAGAGCCGCCUCGAGAAUGGUCGCCGCCGUUUGUUCCGGCGACCAUAUGGUCCAACGACAAUAUCCCCGCACGCGGUAGAUCGAGGGCUAUCGCCUGGUCCUCUCGGUCGGCCUCCUUGCGGCCUCCCUGUGUGCCUCCGGCGUGGGAAUUGGUCGUCGCCGGCGACCGUCGGCCUAAGCCACGGUUUUUAAUUAAGGAAGCCUAAUCCACUGUUAAUUAAAAAAUUAUUUGAGACAAUACUGAUAAGCCAAUGGCAUGUGGGCCUAAUAUCUAGUUUGACUAGUCCUUUUCUAUUUUUCAUUUUAGUUUUUAGCCAGGACCCACGUGGAAGUGUGUGAGAGAUAGGUUUUUUACCAAAACAAUUGGAGUGGGUCCCAUCCGUAAGAGACACAGGGAGACAGGGGCAAGAUUGUCAAAGAAACGGCCAGAUACCAGUCAACCCACUUUGACCGGACGGAAACAGCACGGAAGGACAUUUCUAUAAGUGCACCUAACGGCAGAGGGGCAAAUUUGAGCACACUUCGAAAUUAAGGGCAAAUAUGAGUAGUGGGUUCCAGUUAGGGACAUAGAUGUAAAAGACCCAAAAACAAAUAGGUUGUGCCAUGCAAUGAAAGGGUUCAUUUCAACAACCUGACGGGAGAUAGGCUGACAUUCAAGGCAAACAAACUUACAUACACUGUGAAGUGUCAGCGCAAGUAGAGUGCAUUGUAUGGGAGAUGGUGGAGGAAGUUUGUUGCAGACAACAAGCUGGGGAAAGGUCAGAUGGUUUUGUUCUACUUGGACCAGCAUUCACCAAGGGCGGUUGUUUGCGUGGUCUAGUUUGGAAACAACACUGAAGAUGUUGGGGGAGGAUCAGGAAUGGCGUGCCCCAGUUUGCCACGCAUACUGCGAGAAUGACAAUGGUCGGAGCUUCGGCAUCUAUGUCUGUGAUGGCAAUGGAAUCUUUCCGAUCGUCCCAUGCUCUACAAGGAACAAGUUUGCUCAGUUGUCAGGCGCUUAUAUGAAUUUCAAAGCGCACAACCACUGGUAUGUUGUGGAUGUGUACAGGGGGCACAAACUACUCGCCUUGGUGGUGAUGAUUGGAAGAAGUUCAUUGCGGACUUCAAGCUGGGCCAUUGGGAGUUGGUCCUUUUCUGUAUAUGACAGUACGGAUGCCCAGAGAAGUUGUCGGAGAGGGCGGCGGGGAAAAGGUGGGGGGGGGGGCAAUUGCAUGUCUUCUAACUUGGUUGCAACUGGGGCUGUGUUUUGUCAGGCAUCAACAAGAAGGUGGGGGGUGUCAGUUGCACGUCCCACACUGGUCAUGUAACUUCAAGUGCCCCCCCGGCUGCAAUUGCAUGCCUUCCACCAUGAUUGCAAUUAGGGAUUUGUUUUGUUAGAGGGGCCGCGGGAAGGAAGAGGGGUCAGUUGCAUGUACAACUGUAGUCAUGCAUCUGCAUGUCUUCUUACAUGGUUGCUACUGGGCUUUGUUUUGUUAGAGGGGGCAUCGACAAGGGGGGGGUCAGUUGCAUGUCCCACAUUAGUCAUGCAACUGCAAGCAUUGCCCCCCGACUGCAACGACAUGUCUUCCAACAUGGUUGCAACUAGGGCUUUGUUUUGUUGGAAGGGGAAUCAACAGGAGGGGGCAGUUGCAUGUCCAACCAUUGUCAUGUAACUACAUGUCCUCUAACUUGGUUGUAACUGGGGCUUUGUUUUGUCAGAGGGGCCAUCAGCAAGAAGUGGGUCAUUUGCAUGUCCCACACUAGUUAUGCAACUACAAACGUCACCCUCGACUGCAACUACAUGUCUUCCACCAUGGUUGCAACUAGGCUUUGUUUUGUCGGAGUGGGCGGCUCGAAGAGAGGAGGGGGGCAGUUGCAGGCCCAAGUGUAGUCAUGCAACUGCAUGUCUUCUAACUUGGUUGCAACUGGGGAUUUGUUUGGUCAGAGGGGCCGCAGGGGAGAAGGGGGUCAGUUGCAUAUCCCACUCUAGUCAUGCAAUUGCUAGCGUCGCCCCCUGACUAAAACUGCAUGUCUUUCCAACAUGGUUGCAACUGGGCUUUGUUUUGUCGGAGGGGGCAUCUGCAAGAAGGGGAGGGGGAGUUGCAUGUCCAACCGUUGUCAUGCAAUUGCCUGUCUCCCAACAUGAUUGCAACUGUGAUUUGUUUUGUCAAAGGGGCGGUGGGGAGAAGAGGGGCCAGUUGCAUGUCCAACUGUAGUCAUGCAACUCCAAGCGUCGCCUCCCCCCACCCCUGGGUUCGCAGCUGCAUGUCUUCCAGCAUGGGUGCAACUGGGUCUUUGAUAUGUCGAAGGGAGCGGUGGGAAGAGGGGCGGGGUCAGUUGCAUGCCCCACACUAGUCACGCAACCUCAAGCACCCCCCGAUUGCAGUUGCAUGUCUUUCAACAUGGGUGCAACUGGGUCUUUAUUUUGUCGGAGGGGUCAGUUGUGUGCCCACACUAGUCAUGCAACUACAUGUCUUCCAACAUGGGUGCAACUGGUGCUUUGUUUUGUCGGAGGGGCCGACGAGGAGGGGGCCAAUUGGCAUGUCCAAAUGCAUUCAUAGAACUGCAUGUCUUCCAACACGGUUGCAACUAGGCUUUGUUUUGUUGGAGAGGGCGACCAGGGGAGAAAGGGGACCAGUUGCAUGUCCAACUAUACUCAUGCAACCGCAAGCGUCACCCCCACCCCACCUUGAUUUCCACUUCAUGUCUACCAACGUGGUUGCAACUUGGGCUUUGUUUUGUCAGA